rnacentral:tRNA from 1 species
CAGAAGGUAGUUUAAUUAAAAUAUUAGACUUGGGUUCUAAAGAUCUAAGGUCUUCUGA